rnacentral:rRNA from 1 species
AGCGAACGCUGGCGGCAGGCUUAACACAUGCAAGUCGAGCGGGCCCUUCGGGGUCAGCGGCGGACGGGUGAGUAACGCGUGGGAACGUGCCUUCUGGUCUGGAAUAACCCUGGGAAACUAGGGCGAAUACCGGCUACGCCCUUUUGGGGAAAGGCUUACUGCCGGAGGAUCGGCCCGCGUCUGAUUAGCUAGUUGGUGGGGUAACGGCCUACCAAGGCGACGAGCAGUAGCUGGUCUGAGAGGAUGAGCCGCCACACUGGGGCUGAGACACGGCGCAGACUCCUACGGGAGGCAGCAGUGGGGAAUCUUGGACAACGGGCGCAAGCCUGAUCCAGCCAUGCCGCGUGAGUGAUGAAGGCCUUAGGGUUGUAAAGCUCUUUUAUCCGGGACGAUAAUGACGGUACCGGAGGAAUAAGCCCCGGCUAACUUCGUG